UACGGAGGAUGCGAGCGUUAUCCGGAUUUAUUGGGUUUAAAGGGUGCGCAGGCGGCGAGUUAAGUCAGCGGUAAAAUGCGGUGCUCAACGCCGUACAGCCGUUGAAACUGGACAGUCUUGAGUGGGCGAGAAGUAUGCGGAAUGCGUGGUGUAGCGGUGAAAUGCAUAGAUAGUCACGCAGAACGCCGAUUGCGAAGGCAGCAUACCGGCGCCCGACUGACGCUGAGGCACGAAAGCGUGGGGAUCGAACAGG
rnacentral:rRNA from 1 species